GCUCCCGCAAUUUCACCUGCUCCGAGGGCUGAGAAAAGGGGAUCAGUUAGCAGGAAAGUUUCACCAAUAUUGGCACCUGUGCCAUCGUCUGCACCAGUGGUUGCACCUGCCCCUAUACAUUCAACUCACAAAGGUCAUGUGGCGAAACCUCCUUGUCAUUUCGAGAGAUUCCCAAGGAAGGCGACUAGUCAUCCUCCUGUACUACCGCCUAUUAGGUCACCAGUCCCUGCACCUCAUAUUGCUCCCUCUCCACCACAGAAAAUGCAUGCUCCAACACCAGUCCCGCAUGAACUCUCUGCGUUGAGCCCAUUGCCCUCUGUUGUGUAUGCUCACACUCAGCCUCCUCCAAUGACACCUCCAAUGACACCUUCAGUUGCAGAGCCUCCUCACAGAAUACCUUCAGGUUCAAAAUCCCCAUCGUCAUGUAAGUAGCAAGAACAUUUUCUGUUUGUCUUAUACAGAAAAGCUAAUAAGCUCUCGAGGCAUGUUAAGAAAUCAUUCAUCAGUCUUCAAUAUUCUUUACCUUUCAUUCAGCCGAGGAGAGGGGCACGGAUUAAAGCAAGUGGAACUCUUCUAUUCUAGUUGUAUUGUUCAUUCAGUCCUGAAGAUUUUUCCUAUUUGCUAAUCACCUGCUCUGCUCCCUCUUGCUUCCAGAAUUAUACUUAUCACUCAAUUGUUCUAGU
rnacentral:lncRNA from 1 species